ACAUACAUAAACCAGUGUCUAAAUUUGGGCCCUAGAGAAGUUGGUAAAAGUGCACAUCAACCUAAAGUUACCAAACUACAUCAUAAUAAUUGUCUGGAGAUGUUCAACUAUUCUCAAUUGAAAUUUCCAAUCCAGCUUGAGUGACCCUAACAAAACCUUGGACAGUUUCACAGAGUGGGCUGAUAUGUGAGUGGAAGUCACUGUCAUUUAUCUAUGUUCAAAAGGUAGGACUGAAAUGAAGGGAUUCAGGCCUUCCCAAGUAGCUAAGAGUCAUGUGGUGCUUUAUGAAGUCUCCAUGGUUGUAUCCCAAGCAGUUGGAUAGUGGAGGGAAAGAGAAUUUAAGAGUUCUGCUGUCUCCCUCACUGUGUCUGCUGGGACCUCAGCUUUAGACUUCCAUGAUUCAGUCACACCUUCCAUAGCAAGUCAUAGUGUAUACAGAUCUAAGGACUCAUUUGCCCACUAUAAUCAUAGGACUAUGAAGCACACUUUUUACUGUUCUGUUUAAAAUCAGCCCAGAGACAGGCAGUAAUCUGAAUUACCUGUGUUUCUACUUAUGCAAAAUGCUGACUGUGUACUUGGCCUGACAUUGGUGGUAUACUUUAGUCCCAGUGCAGAGGCAGAGGCAGAGGCACACACAGAGACACACACAGGCAAGAAAGAUGGAGUAGGA
rnacentral:lncRNA from 1 species